rnacentral:rRNA from 1 species
AGGAAAGUAGGGGAUCGCAAGACCUUGCGCUUUUGGAGCGGCCGAUGUCUGAUUAGCUAGUUGGUGAGGUAAAGGCUUACCAAGGCUUCGAUCAGUAGCUGGUCUGAGAGGACGACCAGCCACACUGGGACUGAGACACGGCCCAGACUCCUACGGGAGGCAGCAGUGGGGAAUUUUGGACAAUGGGGGCAACCCUGAUCCAGCCAUGCCGCGUGAGUGAAGAAGGCCUUCGGGUUGUAAAGCUCUUUCAGCCGGAACGAAAAGGUUACGGUUAAUACCCGUGACUAAUGACGGUACCGGAAGAAGAAGCACCGGCUAACUACGUGCCAGCAGCCGCGGUAAUACGUAGGGUGCGAGCGUUAAUCGGAAUUACUGGGCGUAAAGCGUGCGCAGGCGGUUUUGUAAGUCAGAUGUGAAAUCCCCGGGCUUAACCUGNGAACUGCGUUUGAAACUACAAAGCU